CCGGCUGUCAUGUUAAACGCCCUCGAAAUUGUAUACAUUUCGCGUGACAUCAGAACAUACGAGUUUACCCCGAAAACGAUGACCUUUUCUCGUUUGAAGCACUGUCAUUUAGCCUUUAAGUAAAAACAAAAACAAUAACUCUUCCUUUAUGAGGACAGAUGGGUGAAGGUAAAGCACAAUCCCAUCAUCAACAUUAUAGCACCACCGGAAAAAAGAUUAGUUGAUGUAAGGAUGAGGUCACAAGAUCACAUAUUAGUGUGGAAAUGUCUUAGUGGCAUGACAAACAAUUUCCCUAUGAAGCAGUGCCAUAUUUCAUUUUGUUGCUCCAUCUUCCAUGUGGACCAUGUCAAGUGCAUCAUUAAUAAUGGCAAUGUGCCAGAUAGUUUCCACCCCGCCAGACACAGUCCAGCAGCUGCCAUUCCCCUGCCAGAUGUUCGCUCAUAUAUUACAAGAUGUGCCUAAGGAGGGGUCAAGGAUCCAAGAUUGAGUAAUGGCUCUCACAUACAGCACGAUAGUUACAGACAAUGAACUCGGAAGGAAGGAAUGGGAGUGGACAUCGUGUACUAGUUGUGGGUCUGUUUUGGUUUCCAUUAUUUGUACAAGUGUUGAAGCUUAGACGUGGUUGGCAUCGAAAAAUAUACAACCAG